rnacentral:rRNA from 1 species
GAUGAACGCUGGCGGCGUGCCUAAUACAUGCAAGUCGAGCGAACAGACGAGGAGCUUGCUCCUCUGACGUUAGCGGCGGACGGGUGAGUAACACGUGGAUAACCUACCUAUAAGACUGGGAUAACUUCGGGAAACCGGAGCUAAUACCGGAUAAUAUAUUGAACCGCAUGGUUCAAUAGUGAAAGACGGUUUUGCUGUCCCUUAUAGAUGGAUCCGCGCCGCAUUAGCCAGUUGGUAAGGUAACGGCUUACCAAGGCAACGAUGCGUAGCCGACCUGAGAGGGUGAUCAGCCACACUGGAACUGAGACACGGUCCAGACUCCUACGGGAGGCAGCAGUAGGGAAUCUUCCGCAAUGGGCGAAAGCCUGACGGAGCAACGCCGCGUGAGUGAUGAAGGUCUUCGGAUCGUAAAACUCUGUUAUUAGGGAAGAACAAAUGUGUAAGUAACUAUGCACGUCUUGACGGUACCUAAUCAGAAAGCCACGGCUAACUACGUG